rnacentral:rRNA from 1 species
UACGUAGGGUGCAAGCGUUGUCCGGAAUUAUUGGGCGUAAAGAGCUCGUAGGCGGUUUGUCGCGUCGGAUGUGAAAACCCGGGGCUUAACCCCGGGCCUGCAUUCGAUACGGGCUGACUAGAGUACGGCAGGGGAGACUGGAAUUCCUGGUGUAGCGGUGAAAUGCGCAGAUAUCAGGAGGAACACCGGUGGCGAAGGCGGGUCUCUGGGCCGAUACUGACGCUGAGGCGCGAAAGCGUGGGGAGCAAACAGG